UACGUAGGGGGCUAGCGUUGUCCGGAAUCAUUGGGCGUAAAGCGCGUGUAGGCGGCCCGGUAAGUCCGCUGUGAAAGUCGGGGGGUCAACCCUCGGAUGCCGGUGGAUACUGUCGGGCUCGAGUACGGAAGAGGCGAGUGGAAUCCUGGUGUAGCGGUGAAAUGCGCAGAUAUCAGGAGGAACACCGAUUGCGAAGGCAGCUCGCUGGGACGUUAACUGACGCUGAGACGCGAAAGCGUGGGGAGCAAAC
rnacentral:rRNA from 1 species